CCUACGGGUGGCAGCAGUGAGGAAUAUUGGUCAAUGGGCGCGAGCCUGAACCAGCCAAGUCGCGUGAGGGAAGACGGUCCUAUGGAUUGUAAAGUUCUUUAAUCAGGGACGAAGAAGAUGACGGUACCUGAGGAAUAAGCCACGGCAAACUAUGUGCCAGCAGCCGCGGUACUACAUAGGUGGCAAGCGUUGUCCGGAUUGACUGGGCGUAAAGGGAGCGUAGGCGGUCUGUUAAGUUGGAAGUGAAAUCCCGGGGCUCAACCCCGGAACUGCUUUCAAGACUGACGGACUUGAGUGUAAGAGGGGUAAGCGGAAUUCGUAGUGUAGCGGUGGAAUGCGUAGAUAUUAGGAGGAACACCAGUGGCGAAGGCGGCUUACUGGAUUAUAACUGACGCUGAGGCUCGAAAGCGUGGGUAGCAAACAGGAUUAGAUACCCGUGUAGUC
rnacentral:rRNA from 1 species